rnacentral:rRNA from 1 species
UACGAAGGGGGCUAGCGUUGUUCGGAAUUACUGGGCGUAAAGCGCACGUAGGCGGAUACUUAAGUUAGGGGUGAAAUCCCGGGGCUCAACCCCGGAACUGCCUCUAAUACUGGGUAUCUAGAGUCCGAGAGAGGUGAGUGGAAUUCCGAGUGUAGAGGUGAAAUUCGUAGAUAUUCGGAGGAACACCAGUGGCGAAGGCGGCUCACUGGCUCGGUACUGACGCUGAGGUGCGAAAGCGUGGGGAGCAAACAGG